rnacentral:lncRNA from 1 species
AUAUCUAUAAUCACGACAUUACUUAACCACGGGUGACCCCUACUGAUAGUACAAUACCACUCUCAUCAGAGGGUACGUCGUCAUCCACUAGGAGUGGUCCUCUUACGUCUUUCCAGACUAAAUAGGGAAGGGAGAAAUAGAUACCUCGAACGAUAAGGGGAAUAGAUACCCCUCAGAGAUAAAAAGUCUAACGGGACACUUGAUGCAAUAUGCAUAUCAAUACAGAUACACUUCGGACCAUACAGGUUUCAUUUCACUUUUCUCUUUUUCUUUUCUUUUAUACUUUUUACUUU